UGUCACUCAAAGCUACACGCCCCUCAGAAUUUUUCCAGAGGAAACUGCAGCUCAAGCGGGACUCUCGAUCAGAGCCAGAGACGGGUCUGUUUGCUGGGACGUUGUCGAAUAUCUUUCAGAGAUGUACCGACAGACUCUGGUGGCACUUGCAGUGUUCUUCUACUCAUCCUUUCUGGUGAAUGGAGGCAAAGUUUUGGUGUUCCCUGUGGAUGGAAGCCACUGGGUCAACAUGAAAGUGAUCAUCGAGGAGCUUCAUGCCAGAGGUCAUGAAGUCACUGUCCUGCGGCCAUCGGACAGCUGGUACAUCAAGCCUGACUCUCCUCACUACAAAGCCAUCACUCUCAAUUCUCCUGCUGGUUUUGACAGUAAAGGCUUUGGCUCAUUUGUGACAAGAACCCUAAAUAUGCAACGCCAAGGCGCUUCCAUUUGGACUCGGAUAUCCCUAGAGUUAGACAUGCUGAAUAAUUUUAAUGAGAUGAAUAAGUUGGUACUCCAAAUGGUUGAGGAGAUAUUUGAGGACCCCAAACUGAUGCAGAGCCUCCAUGAAGCCAAAUACGAUUUAGUCCUCACAGACCCUGCAAUUGGUGGGGGUGUGCUUCUUGCUCAUCGUCUAGGUCUUCCACUUGUGCUUAACGUCAGAUGGACAAUUCAGGGUGAGGGGCAUCAAGCAAUUACCCCUUCCCCUCUUUCGUAUGUCCCCAUACCAGGAUCAGAGCUGACUGAUAAGAUGAGCUUUAAACAGCGCAUCAAGAACAUCCUCUAUUAUAUCUUUACAUGCCUCCAAAUAUGGUAUAUUACUGAACCAAACUACAAGCCAUUUGUCCAUCGCUACUUUGGCAGUGACAUCCAUUACAUGGAGCUGUUUCAGGCAGCAGACAUCUGGCUGAUGAGAAACGAUUUCACCUUAGAAUUUCCACGUCCCACAAUGCCAAACAUUGUUUACAUGUCAGGAUUUCAGUGCAAACCCUCCAAGCCUUUACCUAAGGAGCUAGAAGAUUUCGUUGAGAGUUCUGGUGAGCAUGGGGUCAUUGUGAUGACACUGGGGACCUUGGUGGAGAGGCUUCCUGAUGACAUCACUGAGGACAUUGCUGCUGCUUUUGCUGAACUUUCUCAAAAGGUGAUCUGGAAGCACAAGGGCAGGAGGCCAAACAACCUUGGCAACAACACAUUAGUUUUGGACUGGUUGCCCCAAAACGAUCUAUUGGGUCAUCCCAAGACUAGGGUGUUUGUAGCCCAUGGAGGAACCAACGGAAUCCAGGAGGCCAUCUACCAUGGCGUCCCUCUAGUUGGCCUGCCUCUCAUGUUUGAUCAGCAUGACAACUUCUUCAGGAUGCAAGCAAGAGGGGUGGCCAAAGUUUUGGACUUUGGAACACUGAAUAAAGACACGUUCCUGGAGGGCUUGAAGGAGGUUCUCUACACACCAUCCUACAGGGAGAAUAUGAAGAAACUGUCUAGCCUGCACAGAGACCAGCCAAUGAAACCACUGGACCGGGCUGUGUUCUGGAUUGAGUUUGUCAUGAGGCACAAAGGAGCGGCACAUUUGAAGACAGAUUCUUACAAGAUGACCAUGAUCCAGUACUACUCAAUGGAUGUGGCAGCCUUUCUGUUUGCAACUGUUCUACUGUUUUUGCUUGUUUCCUUCUCUGCUGUAAAGUUUCUCAUUAGGCAGAUAUUUGACAGAAGUAAAGUCAAGAAGGAAUGACACAUUAGCUCAGCCACAGAUGCCCAAUCACAUCGGGGCGAAUGAUCAGUUUAGUGCAGGGUUGGGCAAAUAUUUUGACUCGUGGCCACAUAGGGCUCUAAAAUUGGAUACAAGGGCCGGAUCAGGAGAAGAUGCGUGGAGUGAGAAAGAAAUAAGAUAUAAUCUGGAUGAAAAUAUUCGGAUUUAAAAUUAUAUUUUAAAACAGAACAUUUGAGAUUUUUUAGGUUAAACUUUUGUUCUCAUUUUAGAGCCGAUUGCACCAACGGCUUGAUGUACCUCGUUUAAAACUUGGAGAAAUGCUUCAUUCAUGUCUGUUUGAAUGAUGGAAGAAUGAAAAACAACACAUCUUCCAACACCACUUGGAUGCUAGAGCAGGUCCCCAAACAUUUUCUUAUGAGGGCCACAAUAACUCUGUUUCUUUAAACUUCUUUUAUCUUUCUUAUAUCGUAAAGCAGUGUGACAUAGAAAGGAAAGACUGUCUUCUGUUCUGUUUGACAGAGAUUUUAGAGGCUUUCAGGUUGGAGCACAGACUGCAGAAUAAUGGAAGAAAAUGUCACAUCUUGAUCGUGAUAAAAAUAAAAAACAUGGGUCUCUGAUAUUGUUCAGUGGGCCGGACCAAACAUGGAGGCGGGCCGGAUCCAGCCCGCGGGCCGUAUUUUGCCCACCCCUGGUUUAGUCUGUAAUAUUUUCUUAUCAAUGUUCUUUCCUGUUGUUAAGUUUUUGUUGAGAAAAAAACAGCUGAACGCAUCGCAAGAAUCAACAAAUAUGUAUAUAUUUACAAUGAUCACAUCAGUUUUGCAAAAUCAAAACUUUAAAGUGUUUGAGCAAAACCACUGCAAUGUACAUGCAUUCUUCUUUAAAAUGCUUCCAUGUAUACAAUCUGCACUAUUUAAACAUUGAUGGUCUUUGAAGUCAUUAGACCUAACAGCAGCUUUAAGACUGCAGUGGAUACAUCCAAGGAAUCAAACAUCCAACCACAGUUUAAAUACUUCUCAUCAUUUUGUGACUUCAACUUCUCUGCUAUAUUGUACAUAGCAUUGGAGGACAUGGGUCCUGUAAAGAUGACGUACAUCAUCUUUACACUUAAAAUUCUAAAACUCUGAAGUUUCAAAGGUCAAAGAAUAUUAAAAGGUUUUAAAAUGUCUUUAAACAUCCAAAGGAACUCCAGUUGUUCACUGAAGAGCUUUACAGUUUACAUACAUUUAGCUGCUUUUGGAAUCAAACUGCCGUCAUACCAUCGCUACUUUAACCAUAUUUAAAACAGACCUCCUCAAACUAAUUAGAAUAAAAGUUCUGUGUGUAAAACUUUGAAUAUUCCUAAUAUUUAGAAGACAGUUUCCAUCAAGGCAAACACGGAGCUGAAGGAGGAGAAAAAUGGAUGUGGAGGUGUUUGGCUUUCUGAUAUCUUCUAGCAGAAAUAUUUGAUCAAAAGUCCCUCAGAAAUCCGACAACAAGUCGUUAAACCAACAACUGUUUGACAGAACUGGUGAUGGUCCCUGUCUGACAGUAAAAGGAGGUACUGAACAUCAUUACAGUCUCUAAUCAUCUCUGACAUUCUACUCUAAACUUUGAGCAACAUUUUAUAUUAUAUUUCUAUAAAUCAGUGAGGUGUUGAAAUAUGAAGUCAAGCUUCCAAAUAAAGUCUACCCAUGCAUAAGUGUCUUCUAGUAGUAAAAAGUGAGCCACUGCUAUGUUUAACUGGAUGAAAAAAAUACCUAAACUUUUGCUUUUUUGGGACUUUUUCCAGAAAGUGUCAUAAGAAAACGUGAAUCUUUGUUGUUGUUUAUGUUUCCAUGGGGGCCGUACACACUGCCAGGGUACAACCACUGCCUUAUGGGGGAGUUUGACCAGUGAAGAAUCAAAUCAUCUGAACACAGACUCUCCCUAAUUCACACUCCCACACACAUGCACCCCCCCCCCCCCCCAUUCACCUUCUGAAAAGUGAAAGAAUAAACUGUUCACAGAAAUA